rnacentral:rRNA from 1 species
UGGUGAUGAUAACAUAGAGGAAAUACCCGUUCCCAUCCCGAACACGGAAGUCAAGCUCUAUCGUGCCGACGAUACUUGCGAGUUACCUUGCUUGGAAAAUAGGUCGUCGCCA